rnacentral:rRNA from 1 species
UACGGAGGGGGCUAGCGUUGUUCGGAAUUACUGGGCGUAAAGCGUGCGUAGGUGGUGAGUUAAGUCUGUCGUGAAAGCCCCGGGCUCAACCUGGGAAUGGCGAUGGAUACUGGCUCGCUAGAGUGCGGUAGAGGAGAGUGGAAUUCCCGGUGUAGCAGUGAAAUGCGUAGAGAUCGGGAGGAACAUCAGUUGCGAAGGCGGCUCUCUGGACCAGCACUGACACUGAGGCACGAGAGCGUGGGGAGCAAACAGG